rnacentral:misc_RNA from 1 species
GAAAUGCGAUACUUGGUGUGAAUUGCAGAAUUCAGUGAAUCAUCGAAUCUUUGAACGCACAUUGCGCCCGCGAGUAUUCUCGCGGGCAUGCCUGUCCGAGCGUCAUUUCAACCCUCAGGGCCCGCCUGCUUGCAGGCGCGGCGCUGGUGUUGGGGAUCGGCUUCCCGCCGUCCCCCAAAUACAGUGGCGGUCUCGCUGCAGCCUCCCCUGCGUAGUAGCAACACUCGCAAGCGGAGCGCGGCGCGGCCACGCCGUAAAACCCCCGACUUUCUGAACGUUGACCUCGGAUCAGGUAGGAAUACCCGCUGAACUUAA